rnacentral:rRNA from 1 species
CAGUAGCCGCGGGAAUACGGAGGGUGCAAGCGUUAAUCGGAAUUACUGGGCGUAAAGCGCACGCAGGCGGUUUGUUAAGUCAGAUGUAAAAUCCCCGAGCUUAACUUGGGAACUGCAUUUGAAACUGGCAAGCUAGAGUCUUGUAGAGGGGGGUAGAAUUCCAGGUGUAGCGGUGAAAUGCGUAGAGAUCUGGAGGAAUACCGGUGGCGAAGGCGGCCCCCUGGACAAAGACUGACGCUCAGGUGCGAAAGCGUGGGGAGCAAACAGGAUUAGAUACCCGUGUAGUCCCUGUCUCUUAUAC